rnacentral:rRNA from 1 species
GACCACGAUCCAACCCUAAAUACUAAUACCAGAUCGAUAGUGCACAAGUACCGUGAGGGAAAGGUGAAAAGAACUGAGGUGAUCAGAGUGAAAUAGAACCUGAAACCAUUUGCUUACAAUCAUUCAGAGCACUAUGUAGCAAUACAGUGUGAUGGACUGCCUUUUGCAUAAUGAGCCUGCGAGUUGUGGUGUCUGGCAAGGUUAAGCAAACGCGAAGCCGUAGCGAAAGCGAGUCUGAAUAGGGCGCUUAGUCAGAUGCUGCAGACCCGAAACGAAGUGAUCUAUCCAUGAGCAAGUUGAAGCUAGUGUAAGAACUAGUGGAGGACUGAACCCAUAGGCGUUGAAAAGCCCCGGGAUGACUUGUGGAUAGGGGUGAAAGGCCAAUCAAACUUCGUGAUAGCUGGUUCUCUCCGAAAUAUAUUUAGGUAUAGCGUUGUGUCGUAAUAUAAGGGGGUAGAGCACUGAAUGGGCUAGGGCAUACACCAAUGUACCAAACCCUAUCAAACUCCGAAUACCUUAUAUGUAAUCACAGCAGUCAGGCGGCGAGUGAUAAAAUCCGUCGUCAAGAGGGAAACAACCCAGACUACCAGCUAAGGUCCCUAAAUCUUACUUAAGUGGAAAACGAUGUGAAGUUACUUAAACAACCAGGAGGUUGGCUUAGAAGCAGCCAUCCUUUAAAGAAAGCGUAAUAGCUCACUGGUCUAGUGAUUUUGCGCGGAAAAUAUAACGGGGCUAAAGUAAGUACCGAAGCUGUAGACUUGCACACAACUUAGAUUAUUUAAGUUUAGAAUAUGAGAAACUAAGUUAUAUGUUUAGUUAUAUUUUUACUGAUUUUUAUAGAGUAAAGAUAGAAAUAAAACUUAGUAAAAUCAGUAAAAAUAUUCUUAGACUAAAGUUAAGUAGUUUAAGUUGUGUGCAAGUGGUAGGAGAGCGUUCUAUUUGCGUCGAAGGUAUACCGGUAAGGAGUGCUGGAGCGAAUAGAAGUGAGCAUGCAGGCAUGAGUAGCGAUAAUUAAUGUGAGAAUCAUUAACGCCGUAAACCCAAGGUUUCCUACGCGAUGCUCGUCAUCGUAGGGUUAGUCGGGUCCUAAGUCGAGUCCGAAAGGGGUAGACGAUGGCAAAUUGGUUAAUAUUCCAAUACCAACAUUAGUGUGCGAUGGAAGGACGCUUAGGGCUAAGGGGGCUAGCGGAUGGAAGUGCUAGUCUAAGGUCGUAGGAGGUUGUACAGGCAAAUCCGUAUAACAAUACUCCGAGAACUGAAAGGCUUUUUGAAGUCUUCGGAUGGAUAGAAGAACCCCUGAUGCCGUCGAGCCAAGAAAAGUUUCUAAGUUUAGCUAAUGUUGCCCGUACCGUAAACCGACACAGGUGGGUGGGAUGAGUAUUCUAAGGCGCGUGGAAGAACUCUCUUUAAGGAACUCUGCAAAAUAGCACCGUAUCUUCGGUAUAAGGUGUGGUUAGCUUUGUAUUAGGAUUUACUCCGAAAGCAAGGAAACUUACAACAAAGAGUCCCUCCCGACUGUUUACCAAAAACACAGCACUCUGCUAACUCGUAAGAGGAUGUAUAGGGUGUGACGCCUGCCCGGUGCUCGAAGGUUAAUUGAUGGGGUUAGCAUUAGCGAAGCUCUUGAUCGAAGCCCGAGUAAACGGCGGCCGUAACUAUAACGGUCCUAAGGUAGCGAAAUUCCUUGUCGGUUAAAUACCGACCUGCAUGAAUGGCGUAACGAGAUGGGAGCUGUCUCAAAGAGGGAUCCAGUGAAAUUGUAGUGGAGGUGAAAAUUCCUCCUACCCGCGGCAAGACGGAAAGACCCCGUGGACCUUUACUACAGCUUGACACUGCUACUUGGAUAAGAAUGUGCAGGAUAGGUGGGAGGCUUUGAGUAUAUGACGCCAGUUGUAUAUGAGCCAUUGUUGAGAUACCACUCUUUCUUAUUUGGGUAGCUAACCAGCUUGAGUUAUCCUCAAGUGGGACAAUGUCUGGUGGGUAGUUUGACUGGGGCGGUCGCCUCCCAAAUAAUAACGGAGGCUUACAAAGGUUGGCUCAGAACGGUUGGAAAUCGUUCGUAGAGUAUAAAGGUAUAAGCCAGCUUAACUGCAAGACAUACAAGUCAAGCAGAGACGAAAGUCGGUCUUAGUGAUCCGGUGGUUCUGUGUGGAAGGGCCAUCGCUCAAAGGAUAAAAGGUACCCCGGGGAUAACAGGCUGAUCUCCCCCAAGAGCUCACAUCGACGGGGAGGUUUGGCACCUCGAUGUCGGCUCAUCGCAUCCUGGGGCUGGAGCAGGUCCCAAGGGUAUGGCUGUUCGCCAUUUAAAGCGGUACGCGAGCUGGGUUCAGAACGUCGUGAGACAGUUCGGUCCCUAUCUGCCGUGGGCGUAAGAAGAUUGAAGAGAUUUGACCCUAGUACGAGAGGACCGGGUUGAACAAACCACUGGUGUAGCUGUUGUUCUGCCAAGAGCAUCGCAGCGUAGCUAAGUUUGGAAAGGAUAAACGCUGAAAGCAUCUAAGCGUGAAGCCAACUCUAAGAUGAAUCUUCUCUAAGCUCUCUAGAAGACUACUAGUUUGAUAGGCUGGGUGUGUAAUGGAUGAAAGUCCUUUAGCUGACCAGUACUAAUAGAGCGUUUGGCUUAUCUUUAAUAAAGCAU